UGAAGGGCAAAGGGAGCUGCUCUCCCAGGGCCAGAUGCUGGAUGGGUGUCUGUGGAGCCUGGGACAGGGGAGGUGUGAGGGCAUCUUUGGACAGGGCCGUGCUGGGCUGUGGCUAAACCAGGAGCCUCAGGGCAAAUGAGAGGAAUGAAGCUCCUCAGGUGCCCCUGGCACACCGGCUGCUGCCCUGCCAGCCCUCAGGUCAGGACUGUCACACCCGACCUGUUGUGAGGGUUAGGCCUGGCGUCUGGGACGGCUUACUCUGUGGGGUCUAGGGGUCUCACCAGCAUGGCCUGCAGAGGAGGUGGCCCCAGCGGUGGAUAGUGGGGAGGAGGGCUCUGUGCCGUCCGUGUCUGGGUUCAUGUCCUGAGAGAUGAUUGCUUCAGGGAGCUCUGCUGAGGUAGGACGUGGGAUUUCUUUGGGAGCCAGCCCCUGUGCCCAGUCCCUCCUCAACCCAUUUCUACCCCAUAGCAGGGCCCCUGAGGCCCACUUACUUUCUCUCAUCCUGGCCAGUCAGGAGCCUUCGGCCCUAAGGCUGCAGGACCGUUUUGGUCCAGCAGUAUUGGGGAUGGGGGAGGGGCCAGCCGGGUUCCCAGGCCUGCUUCUCAUUUUUCCCUUCGUGCCAGCAGAGUGGGGAUCCGUGCCUGGAGGACCCAUCACCAUCAGGAAGGCUGUGGUGGAUGGGAGGAGCCACCAAGGGGAGGGGAGGGUCUCUGCAUUCACCUCCCCCCAGCCAAAUCUCAAAGACCAGCCCCAUGGCCCCUCAGCUGAUGGGGGAGGGACUGCCCCCAACCAGACCUUUAUCAAAAGCCCGUACAGAUGGGCCACCUGCCUGUCUCCAUCGGUUAUGUCAUACAUAAAUGGGGAUUUAUAGACCAGAGGCAGGGUCCACCAUGCAUAGGCCUUACCACCUAGACUGCUGUUCCCAGGUCCCACAGCCCAACAGUUAGCAGCCGACCCCAGCCUGGGUCCGUGAGGACAGGACCUAAUGGGGGGAGUCCAUGCAAUGUAGUGGGGGGAAGGGCGCCCCACAGGCAGCAGACCUGGGGUUGGAUCUUCACACUGGUUAGCUGAGUGAUCUUAGACAAAUUCCCUAGCCCCUUUGAGCGUCCGUUUCCCCACCAGUAACAGGAUAAUAAAAGUGCCUGCAUUCAUUCAGCCCACAAAUCUGAAGUGAGCAUCCACGCGUGAACCAGCCCGGCCCCUUCCCUGCUCUCCCAUAGCUGGCAUUCCAGUGGGGGACAGAAAAUAAACUAGUGUCAGCUGGUGGCCAGUGCUACGAGGAGGUGAAGGCGGGAGACCUUUGACCUGAGGCUGAACCUUGUGGUGAGUCCUGUGAGGAUCUGGGGUAACGGCAGCACCCAGGGAGCUCGCUCUGUGGUUAUGGAGUAGAAAAGCCUGUGGUGGAACAGAGUUGGGGGUGUGGAGAGCAGGCAGCCGGGUCAGAGAGGCUGGCCUGCUGUGGACAGGGAUGCGGGGCACAGGGGGCAAGCCUCAGGGCUGAGUGGAGAAUGGAUUGGGAAGGGAGGGCCACUGGCAGCAGGGAGGCCUCUCUGGGCGAGAAGGGUGGCGCAGGGACACAUGGGGGAUGGGGAUCCUGGGCAGUGGAGGCCGAGCAGGGCAGGUGCGGGGGAGCAGCCUGAUGACUGUCCACUUAGCAGGGAGUUGGAGGCCUGCACGUGCCCUCAGCAGCUGGAAAGGUAGAGGCAGACGAACCUGAUUCAGAGGCUGCCCUCUCCCCCAGGCACCAGAACCCCCCAGAGCUUCUGAAUGAAACAUGCUGGGCUUGCAGGUACUUGGGGUUGGGGAGUUGUUUGCAUCUGCUCCUGAGUGUGCUUCACAACCUCUGAAACACCCCAGGCUUGUGGCUAAUGGUGGGCUUGGAGACUGACGCCAGGAGGAGGGUCCCGGGCCAGGAAGCCCCAAGCUGGGCCCAGGCGUCCAUGCAGGGGUCAGUGGCCAGCACCUUCCCUUCCGCCUGCAGGCUGCUGAUACGCAGGAGGAAAUCCUGGCGGGUUCCUGUGGGGGUGAGCUGGCGGGGCCUCCCGGCUGCUUUUAAAGCGCCCGCCCUCCCUGUCCUGCCUGCCCGCCCUGUGCCUGCCUCCUAGAGCUCAUUCUCCGCGCCGGCUGCCCCAGUUCUGUCCUGGACAGCGUGCCCGCCAGCCACCACCAGCCAUGGCAGGGCCCCGGGACCACCUCCUGCUCUGCCUGCUGGUCCUCUGCCUGGCAGGCUUCAGCUUCAUCGGGGGGCAGAAGGUACAGUCCAGACGCUGCGACAUGAAGACCAGGUUUGUCACUCACAUACCCUGCACCCCGUGCCCUGCCAUCAAGAAGCGGGUGUGUCCCUCGGGCUGGCUUCGGGAGUUCCCGGAGAAGAUCUCACAGGACUGCCGAUACGAGGUCCAGCUGGGGGACUCUUUGUUGUCUGUGAGCGGCUGCAGCGUGGAGUGCUCGAAGGACGUGGUGCAGAAGGCCUGCUGCCCUGGCUAUUGGGGGUCCCAGUGCUAUGAGUGCCCUGGGGGUGCUGAGACCCCAUGCAACAGCCACGGGACCUGCCUGGAUGGCAUAGACAGGAACGGGACCUGCGUGUGCCAGGAAAACUUCAGUGGCUCAGCCUGCCAGGAGUGUAGAGACCCCAACCGCUUCGGCCCUGACUGCCAGUCAGUCUGCAGCUGUGUGCAUGGCGUGUGCCGCCAUGGGCCACUCGGGGAUGGAAGCUGCCUGUGCUUUGCUGGAUUCACUGGACCCCACUGUGACCAAGAGCUCCCGGUCUGCCAGGCCCUGAACUGUCCUCAGAACUCCCAGUGCUCUGCAGAGACCCCUACCUGCAGCUGCCUGCCUGGCCACACCCAGCAGGGCGGCGAAUGCCUAGCCCCUGACCCCUGCCAGCCGUCACCCUGCUCCCCAGUUGCCCAGUGCUCCGUGAGCCCCAGGGGGCAGGCACAGUGUCGCUGCCCUGAAAACUACCAUGGGGACGGAACGGUGUGUCUGCCCCAGGACCCAUGCACCACCAACAACGGCGGCUGCCCCAGCAACUCCACCUUAUGUCUGUACAAGAGGCCAGGCCAGGCUUCCUGCUCAUGUAAGCCAGGCCUGGUCAGCACCAACCGCAAUGCCUCCGCGGGCUGCUUUGCCUACUGCUUCCCCUACUCCUGUGACCGGUCAGCCACCUGCCAGGUGACCCCUGACGGAAAGACCAGCUGUGUGUGCAAGGACGGCGAGGUGGGAGAUGGGCGUGCCUGCUACGGACACCUACUCCACGAGGUGCAGAAGGCCAGCCAGACGAGCAUGACGUUACUGCGGCUGAGAGUCGCCUUUGCCAUGCUGGACCAGGGCUGCCGGGAGAUCCUCAGCACAUCGGGCCCAUUCACCGUGCUGGCACCGUCCAUAUCCUCUAGGACCAUGAACGCAUCCCUUGCCCAGCAGCUCUGCAGACAGCACAUCAUCGCAGGGCAGCACAUGCUGGAGGAGUCAGGGACCCAGCCUACACGCAGGUGGUGGACACUGGCUGGACAGGAGAUCACCGUCACUUUCGGCCGCUUCAGGCAGAAAUACACCUACAAGUACAAAGACCAGCCCCAGCAAACAUUCACCAUCCACAAGGCCAACUACCCAGCAGCCAAUGGCAUCUUCCACGUGGUCACUGCCCUGCGGUGGCAGCCCCCACCAGAGCUCCCGGAGGACCCCAAGAGGACAAUCGGCCAGAUCCUUGCCUCCACUGAGGCCUUCACCCGGUUUGAAACCAUCCUGGAGAACUGUGGGCUGCCCUCCUUCCUGGAUGGCCCUGGGCCCUUCACAGUCUUUGCCCCCAGCAAUGAGGCAGUGGAUGGCUUGCGGGACGGCCGCCUGGUCUACCUCUUCACAGCGGGUCUCUCCAAACUGCAGGAGCUGGUGAGGUACCAUGUCUAUAGCCACGGCCAGCUGACUGUUGAGAAGCUCAUCUCCAAGGGCCGGGUCCUCACCAUGGCAAAUCAGGUCCUGGCUGUGAAUAUCUCGGAGGAGGGGCGCAUCCUGCUGGGACCUGAGGGGGUACCCCUACGGAGAGUGGACGUGCUGGCUGCCAACGGCGUCAUCCACAUGCUGGAAGGCAUCCUGCUGCCCCCGACCAUCCUGCCCAUCCUGCCCAAGCUUUGCAACGAAGAGCAGCACAAGGUUGUGGCGGGCUCCUGUGUGGACUGCCAAGCCCUGAACACCAGCAUGUGCCCCCCCAACAGCGUGAAGCUGGACAUCUCCCCUGAGGAGUGUGUCUACAUCCAUGACCCUACUGGGCUGAACGUCCUGAAGAAGGGCUGCGCCCACUACUGCAAUCAGACCAUCCUGAAACCUGGCUGCUGCAAAGGGUUUUUUGGGCCUGACUGUGUGCAGUGUCCUGGGGGCUUCUCCAACCCCUGCUAUGGCAAAGGCAACUGCAGUGAUGGGGUCCAGGGCAGUGGGGCCUGCCUCUGCUUCCCAGACUACAAGGGCAUUGCCUGCCACAUCUGCUCCAACCCAAACAAGCAUGGAGACCAGUGCCGGCAAGACUGCGGCUGUGUCCACGGUCUAUGUGACAACCGUCCGGGCAGUGGGGGGGUGUGCCAGCGUGGCACAUGUGCCCCGGGCUUCAGUGGCCGCUUCUGCAACGAGUCCACAGGGAUCUGUGGGCCCACAGAACAGGCCCAGCAGUGCCACCCGCAUGCCCGCUGCGUUAACCAGGGGGAUGUUGCCAGGUGUCUCUGUCUCGAUGGCUUUGAGGGUGACGGCUUCUCCUGCACACCCAGCAACCCCUGCUCUCGCCCAGACCGUGGCGGAUGCUCGGAGAAUGCUGAGUGUGUCCCUGGGGCCCCAGGCACCCACCACUGCACGUGCCACAAGGGCUGGAGUGGGGACGGUCGUGUCUGCGUGGCCAUCGACGAGUGUGAGCUGGAUGUACGAGGCGGCUGCCAUGCUGACGCCCUCUGCAGCUAUGUGGGACCCGGGCAGAGCCAGUGCACCUGCAAGCUGGGAUUUGCGGGGGACGGCUACGUGUGCAGUCCCAUUGACCCCUGCCGGGCAGGCAACGGUGGCUGCCAUGAUCUGGCCACCUGCCGGGCAGUGGGAGGCGGUCAGCGGGUCUGCACAUGCCCCCCUGGCUACGGGGGUGAUGGCUUCAGCUGCUACGGAGACAUCUUCCAGGAGCUGGAGGCAAAUGCCCACUUCUCCAUCUUCUACCAGUGGAUCAAGGGGGCCGGCAUCACUCUUCCUGCUGACAGCCGAGUCACAGCCCUGGUGCCCUCGGAGUCUGCCAUCCGUAGGCUGAGCCCUGAGGACCAGGCCUUCUGGCUGCAGCCGAGGAUGCUACCGCAACUGGUCAGGGCCCAUUUUCUCCAGGGCGCCCUGUCUGAGGAGGAGCUGGCCCGGCUGGAUGGGCAGAGUAUAGCCACCCUGAGCCCCACCACACGCUGGGAGAUUCACAACAUCAGUGGGAGAGUCUGGGUGCAGAAUGCCAGCGUGGACGUGGCUGACCUCCUUGCCACCAAUGGUGUCCUACAUGUCCUCAGUCAGGUCUUACUGCCUCCAAGAGGGGAUGUGCUGGGGGGGCAGGGGUUGCUGCAGCAGCUGGACUCAGUGCCUGCCUUCCGCCUCUUCCGGGAGCUGCUGCAGCGCCACAGGCUGGUACCCCAGAUUGAGGCUGCCACCGCCUACACCAUCUUCGUGCCAACCAACCACUCUCUGGAGGCCCAGGCCAACAGCAGCGGCCUGGACUUGGACGUAGUGCGACACCAUGUGAUCCUGGGGGAGGCGCUUUCCACAGAGGCCCUGCGCAGGGGCGGACACCGCAACUCCCUACUGGGCCCCACGCACUGGCUUGUCUUCUACAACCAUAGCGGCCAGCCUGAGGUGAACCAUGUGCCGCUGGAAGGCCCUGUGCUGGAGGCCCCUGGCCGCUCACUGUUUGGCCUGUCCGGGGUCCUGACGGUGGGCUCAAGCCGCUGCCUGCACAGCCACGCAGAGGCCCUGCGGGAGAAAUGUGUAAAUUGCACCCGGAAAUUCCGCUGCACUCAAGGCUACCAGCUGGAGGACACCCCCAAGAAGAGCUGUGUCUACCGGUCUGGCUACUCCUUCUCCCGGGGCUGUUCUUACACGUGUGCCAAGAAGAUCCAGGUGCCUGACUGCUGCCCUGGCUUCUUCGGCACACUGUGUGAGCCGUGCCCGGGGGGUCUGGGUGGUGUGUGCUCGGGCCACGGGCAGUGUCAGGACAGGCUCCUGGGCAGUGGGGAGUGCCGCUGCCACGAGGGCUUCCACGGAACGGCCUGUGAGAUGUGUGAGCUGGGCCGCUACGGGCCCAACUGCACUGGAGUGUGUGACUGUGCCCACGGGCUGUGCCAGGAGGGGCUCCGAGGGGACGGAAGCUGUGUCUGUAACGUGGGUUGGCAGGGCCUCCGCUGUGACCAGAAAAUCACUGGCCCUCAGUGCCCACAGAAGUGUGACCCCAAUGCCAACUGCGUCCAGGACUUGGCUGCAGCCCCUGCCUGUGUCUGUGCCGCGGGGUACUCGGGCAACGGCAUCUACUGUGCAGUGGUGGACCCUUGUGCCCAUGACCAUGGGGGCUGCUCCCCCUACGCCAACUGCACCAAUGUGGCACCUGGUCAGCGGACAUGCACCUGCCUGGAUGGCUACACGGGUGAUGGGGAGCUGUGCCAGGAAGUUAACGGCUGUCUCAUCCACCACGGGGGCUGCCACAUGCACGCCGAAUGUAUCCCCACCGGCCCCCAGCAGGUCUCCUGCAGCUGCCGCGAGGGUUACAGUGGGGACGGCAUCCGGACUUGUGUGCUCCUGGACCCCUGCUCCCAGAACAAUGGAGGCUGCAGCCCCUAUGCUGUGUGCAAAAGCACAGGGGAUGGCCAGAGGAUGUGUACCUGCGAUGCAGUCCACACUGUGGGUGAUGGCUUCACCUGCCGUGCCCGAGUCGGCCUGGAGCUCCUUCGGGACAAGCAUGCCUCAUUCUUCAGCCUCCAUCUCCUGGAAUACAAGGAGCUCAAGGGGGAUGGGCCUUUCACAAUCUUUGUGCCGCAUGCAGAUCUAAUGACCAACCUGUCGCAGGAUGAGCUGGCCCGGAUUCGUGCCAAUCGCCAGCUUGUGUUCCGCUAUCACGUGGCUGGUUGCCAGCAGCUGCGAAGCCAGGAGCUGCUAGAGGAGGGCUAUGCCACCACACUCUCCGGGCACCCGCUGCGCUUCAGUGAGAGGGAGGGCAACAUAUACAUCAAUGACUUCGCGCGCCUGGUGAGCAGCGACCACGAGGCUGUGAACGGUGUCUUGCAUUUCAUCGACCGUGUCCUGCUGCCACCUGAAGCGCUGCACUGGGAGCCUGACGCUGCCCCGAUUCCGCAGAGAAACUUCACCGCCGCUGCGGAGAGCUUCGGUUACAAGAUCUUCAGUGGCCUUGUGACGAUGGCUGGCCUGCUGCCCCUGCUUCGAGAUUCAUUCCAUAGGCCCUUCACAAUGCUGUGGCCCACAGACUCCGCCCUGCAAGCCUUGCCUCCCGAUCGCCAGGUCUGGCUAUACCAUAAAGACCACCGUGACAAGCUGGCAGCUAUUGUGCGGGGCCACGUGAUCCGCAACGUCGAGGCCUUGGCAUCUGACCUGCCCAACCUGGGCCCACUGCGCACCAUGCAUGGGACCCCCAUCUCCUUCUCCUGCAGCCGUGCCCGGCCGGGUGAGCUCACGGUGGGAGAGGAGGACGCCCGGAUUGUGCAGCGACACCUGCCCUUUGAGGGGGGCCUGGCUUACGGCAUCGAUCAGCUGCUGGAGCCACCUGGCCUCGGUGCCCGGUGUGACCGCUUUGAAACUCGGCCUCUGUGGCUGAAGGUUUGCAGCGUUUGUGGGCUGGAACCACCCUGUCCUGAGGGCUCACAGGAGCAGGGCAGCCCUGAGGGCUGCUGGCGCUACUUCUCAAAGUUCUGGACGUCUCCUCCGCUGCACUCCCUGGCACUGCGCAGUGUUUGGGCCCGGCCCAGCCACUGGGGUCAGCCCCAAGGCCUGGGCAGGGGCUGCUACCGCAACUGUGUCACCACCACCUGGAAGCCCAGCUGCUGCCCUGGUCACUAUGGCAGUGAGUGCCGAGCUUGCCCUGGGGGUGCCAGCAGCCCCUGUAAUGGCCAUGGCACAUGCAUGGACGGCAUGAGCGGCAGCGGGAACUGUAGGUGCCAUUCGAGGUUUGCCGGGAUGGCAUGUGAACUCUGUGCCCCAGGUGCCUUUGGGCCCCUUUGCCAAGCCUGCAACUGUACCUCCCAUGGCCACUGCGAUGAGGGCCUGGGGGGCUCUGGCUCCUGCUUCUGUGAUGAGGGCUGGACUGGGCCACACUGUGAGGUGCAGCUGGAGCUGCAGCCUGUGUGUGCUCCACCUUGCGCAUCCCAGGCCGUGUGCCGCGCUGGCCACAGCUGUGAGUGCAGCCUGGGCUACGAAGGGGAUGGCCGCACGUGCACAGUGGUAGACCUGUGCCAGCAUGGGCGUGGCGGGUGCAGCGAGCAUGCCAACUGCAGCCAGGUAGGCACAGUGGUCACCUGCACCUGCCUGCCCGACUACGAGGGUGAUGGCUGGAGCUGCCGGGCCCGCAACCCCUGUGAGGAUGGCCACCGUGGGGGCUGCAGCGAGCACGCUGACUGCCUGAGCACUGGACCGAACACACGGCGCUGUGCGUGCCAUGCUGGCUACGUGGGUGAUGGACUGCAGUGUCUGGAGGAGCCUGAGCCGCCCGUGGACCGCUGCCUGGACCAGCCACCACCCUGUCACGUGGACGCUGUGUGCACUGACCUGCACUUCCAGGCUGGGCUUCCACCUCUGCCUUGUGGGCUGGCUGGCCAAUGGCUCGGCUGCCCAUCCCGUCGUUUUCCCGGCAGCAGACUGUGGCGAUGGUCAGGUGGGCGUGGUCAGUCUGGGUGCCCGGGAGAACCUGUCGGAGUGCUGGGACGCCUACUGCUACCGCAUGCAAGACGUGGCCUGCCGAUGCCGCGAUGGCUUCGUGGGUGAUGGGGCCAGCGUGUGCAAUGGGAAGCUGCUUGAUGUACUGGCCACCACUGCCAACUUCUCCACCUUCUACGGGAUGCUACUGGGUUAUGCCAAUGCCACCCCGAGGGGUCUCGACUUCCUGGACUUCCUGGACGACGAGCUCACCUACAAGACACUCUUCGUCCCUGUCAACGAAGGCUUUAUGGACAACCUG